UAUAUAUAUAUAUAUACACACACAUAAAAAAUGGGGGUUUAGUUCACAUGUGAUCUAAACGAUUAGGUACACUAGGUAAGUGCUAUAAUGGAUUACUGGGGCUCCA